UACGAGGGGGGCGAGCGUUGUUCGGAAUUAUUGGGCGUAAAGCGUGCGCAGGCGGUUUUGCAAGCCGGAUGUGAAAUCCCCGGGCUCAACCUGGGAAUGGCAUUCGGGACUGCAAGGCUGGAGUGCGGCAGAGGAGACUGGAAUUCCUGGUGUAGCAGUGAAAUGCGUAGAUAUCAGGAGGAAUACCGAUGGCGAAGGCAGGUCUCUGGGCUGACACUGACGCUCAUGCACGAAAGCGUGGGGAGCAAACAGG
rnacentral:rRNA from 1 species